AUCCAGACUCCUACGGGAGGCAGCAGUGAGGAAUAUUGGUCAAUGGCCGGGAGGCUGAACCAGCCAAGUCGCGUGAGGGAAGACUGCCCUAUGGGUUGUAAACCUCUUUUGUCAGGGAGCAAUUGGCGCUACGUGUAGCGUUAUCGAGAGUACCUGAAGAAAAAGCAUCGGCUAACUCCGUGCCAGCAGCCGCGGUAAUACGGAGGAUGCGAGCGUUAUCCGGAUUUAUUGGGUUUAAAGGGUGCGUAGGCGGAAUGCCAAGUCAGCGGUAAAAUCGCGGGGCUCAACCUCGCUCCGCCGUUGAAACUGGCGUUCUUGAGUGGGCGAGAAGUAUGCGGAAUGCGUGGUGUAGCGGUGAAAUGCAUAGAUAUCACGCAGAACUCCGAUUGCGAAGGCAGCAUACCGGCGCCCAACUGACGCUGAAGCACGAAAGCGUGGGUAUCGAACAGGAUUAGAUACCCCCGUAU
rnacentral:rRNA from 1 species